CCCAUCUUCUUGUCUUCAGAACCCCACCAUAUUGGAGAUUGAGUUUGAAAUCUUCAAUUACAUCUAGUAAUUCAGUACUUGUUCUAGUUGCUCUUGCUAGUUCUUCGAUUACUUGCAGGAUAAGUGCCCUAGUGACCUUGGUGUCAUGCUCCACAAGAUGGCGGCAACCAUUGGAGGUGGUGUAUUGGUUGCUAAGGCGCAGCGUCCUUGGAAGGUUGUAGUUGAGCUGUGAACGUU
rnacentral:lncRNA from 1 species